CUGGGAUGCUCCUUGUCCUGAAAAAAAGUUUCAAAUAUGCGCAGGGUUAGAAGGACAACAAAACUCACAGAAACCUUUCCGCCUCCUCAAAGAACGAUGCAACGCUUGUGGACCCGGAGGUCGUUUCGGAGAAAAGGGAAAUUCCAUGAAAAGGCCAUACAGCAGUAAAUCUAGGGGGAUGAGAAAUCACUGGAGGUGAUGGACCAUAAAGCAGUAAGUAUGAUUAUGUUAUCUAAAGGGAGUGGAUAAAGUGAGCCAACAGAUUUUGUAUAUACAGUACAGUAGACAGCAAUAUGCUCAUGUUACCUUCUCUUUAUUAUAUAAAUAUAUGUAGCUGUAAUUUCAUGUCAGUGUAAUGUCACUAAAUAGAAGCACAUACAUUGAAGUAUUAUUUUUUCCAUUUUCAAUGGUGGCGCUGAAACAUCAUUUAAGUUUUCUCGAGAGCUGAAAAACCAACAAUGCAUGAGCCAAGUUUCAGUGAAAACAAGCUCACACAGUACACUUCCAGAACCAGGGUUCCUAAAGCACUGCUUAUAAUGUCACAUUUAUGUACACUAAUCAAAACACAUAAGCAAAUGUAUGAUUAAUGGUCCAUAAUUUACAUUUGUAUUCAUGUGGAAAAGUAAAGGCCUAAAAGAAUACAUGACAACCAGUAUCAUAAAAUCUCCAGUUUGAUAUAUACCAAAGUUACAUUGAAUGUAAAGUUAUUGAAAUGUAUUUUUGUUAUACAUAAACAUACAUACAAUUACAGCACAUAUACUCAAGGGCAUUAAUUAGGCAACAAAUGUAUUUGACAGCCUGAAUGAGCUUGAAUGAGCACAUAUAUGACCUGCAUGCAUAAUUUAAGGUUGAGAAUCCAAUAUCCUUUUACUAUUUAUAGUUUUUUCUGAUGUAAUUGUCAUUUGGUUUACAUCUUUGGCCUUUACUACAAAAUAUGUCAUGGCUAUUUUUCUAAAUGAUUGUAUAUGCUGCUGAUGCCACAAAAGUUCUUUGAGGAUAAUCUGCAGCUCAUUUAAAAAUGAACAAAACUGCACACAUUUUUACAUCUAUCAGGCCUUGUGUGCAUGACAGAUAACUUCCCUGUCAAAUUACAAAUUAAAAUACAAAUGAAGAAAAAACAAA